rnacentral:ncRNA from 2 species
UUCGAGAGCAGGGGAGAGUCCCAGGGGCAAUACGGGCACCGAAGGGGCAAGUCCGUUGUUGGCUUAUAGCGGAUGAAACUCUCAGGUAAAUGGACCCUGCUCCCGCC